AAGUCGUAACAAGGUUUCCGUAGGUGAACCUGCGGAAGGAUCAUUAACACGCAUUGAAAGCAUCCAAUAUCAACAAAUCACAACCAAACGGUCAACUAUCUCCUCCCUAUUUCGCACACCGGAGACGGUACGAGUAGGCUAACAUGUAAAUAACAACAACAAGCUCAAUCAAGCAAUUGCUUGCGCCUAAAAAAUGUUGUUAUUUUCAAACACAAGAUAACCCCUUUUAAUUAUAUUAUUCAUUUAAUAUAAACGAACAACUCUUCGAAUUUGCCCUUCCUUUGAUUUCAUUUUCAAUGAAGAACAAAAACGAACUAAACUAAAAUAUACAUUCGAUAUAUUUUUAUUUUACGAAAUAAUAUAUAUUUAUAAGAACAACUCUUAGCAAUGGAUAUCUUGGUUCUC
rnacentral:misc_RNA from 1 species